GGUUGGUCCGAGUGCAGUGGUGUUUACAAC
rnacentral:scRNA from 1 species